AUCGAACGCUGGCGGCAGGCCUAACACAUGCAAGUCGAACGAGAGGCGGACGGGUGAGCAAUGUAUGGGAAACUGCCUGACGGAGGGGGAUAACGACUGGAAAAGGUAGCUAAUACCGCAUACCAUCAGAUGUGUCCAGAUGGGAUUAGGUUGUUGGGGGGGUAACGGCUCACCAAGGAGACGAUCCCUAGCGGGUCUGAGAGGAUGACCAGCCACACGGGAACUGAGACACGGUCCAGACUCCUACGGGAGGCAGCAGUGGGGAAUAUUGGACAAUGGGCGCAAGCCUGAUGCAGCCAUGCCGCGUGUAUGAAGAAGGCCUUCGGGUUGUAAAGUACUUUCGGCGGGGAGGCGUUACCCGCAGAAGAAGCACCGGCUAACUCCGUGCCAGCCGCCGCGGUAAUUC
rnacentral:rRNA from 1 species